rnacentral:rRNA from 1 species
AUUGAACGCUGGCGGCAGGCCUAACACAUGCAAGUCGAGCGAGCGGCGGACGGGUGAGUAAUGUAUGGGGACUGCCCGAUAGAGGGGGAUAACUACUGGAAACGGUGGCUAAUACCGCAUACUAUCGGAUAAUCCAUAUGGGAUUAGCUAGUAGGUGGGGUAAAGGCUCACCUAGGCGACGAUCUCUAUCUGGUCUGAGAGGAUGAUGAGCCACACGGGGACUGAGACACGGACGAGACUCCUACGGAGACAGCAGUGGGGAAUAUUGCACAAUGGGCGAAAGCCAGAGGCAACCAUGCCGCGGUUAUGAAGAAGGCCUUAGGGUUGUAAAAUACUUUCAGCGGGAAUGCGUUACCCGCAGAAGAAGCACCGGCUAACUCCGUGCCAGCAGCCGCGGUAAUAC